UUUUGACUAUACAAAGGUAUUGUAAUAAGAUUUUAAUUGAAUGCUAAAAGAAUGGAAAUUUAAAAAAAAACUUUUUUAAAAAUAAAAAUUGAAUUUUUUUUAAUUUGUGCAAAAACAAUUAUACUUAUUAAAGACAAGAAGACCCUAAGAAUUUAAGAUUUUACAAUUAAAAAGUUUUUUUUUUAAAAUCUUGAUUGGGGCGAUCAAAAAAUAUUAAUAACUUUUUAAAAUUUAAAUUGAUCUAUUAUUAAUAAACUAAUGAAUUAAAUACUCUAGGGAUAACAGCGUAAUAAUUUUUGAUAGAUCUUAUUGACAAAAUAGUUUGCGACCUCGAUGUUGGAUUAGGAUUCUUUUUUAAUGAAGAAGUUAAAAAAAGAAGUUUGUUCAACUUUUAAAUUCCUACUUGAUCUGAGUUCAGACCGG
rnacentral:rRNA from 1 species